GCCAAGGGAGGGCCCAGACCGAAGAAGGUUUGGUGGAUAGCAGAACCUUUUUGUCUCCCUCUAAUUGCUCCUAAGCCUCACGCUCCCUUGCCCCGCGUGUCCUGUUGCUUCCCUGAUCUUCUCCGUGACCUGUAGCUAAACCUUCCACCAGCGCUUGAGAACUUAAUUUGUACCGGAUCCUUUCCCAGACCCCUUUCUUCUCCUCCUCCUCCACCUCCUCCAGGGCGCCCUGAAAGGACCAGGACAUGCGGCUGCGGUGGUGGCUCCUCUUUUGGCUCCUGCUGGGAUUUAUCAGCCAUCAUCCUACCCCUUAGAGACGGGGUUUCACCAUGUUCGCCAGGAUGGUCUCCAUCUCUUGACCUCGUGAUCUGCCUGCCUCGGCCUCCCAGUGCUGGGAUUACAGGCGUGAGCCACCGCGCCUGGCCAAAAUAUAUAACCUUAAGUGUAAGUUUACUAACUUUGG
rnacentral:lncRNA from 1 species